CAGAUAAUUGCGCUGAAAAUACAGAACAAUCCGUAUGCCAGGUCAUUCUGCAGCAACACUGACAGGAGAAAUGCUCUCAAGCGUUUGAUGGCGGAAGAAUCAGCGUCCGACGAAGACACGAACGGUCACAACAGCGCGGCGCGGCAGUCGGCCAGGACUGAAAGCCCCGAAACGUUUUAUACCUCGCCCACCACGUGUAGCACUGCGACGGCAGUUAACCAGCGCUUGACGAGCAUGGCCCGUCACUAGUGAGCGGAUACGACUUGAAUACGGCUCCGCAUUUGCCAUCUACGUACACUCCGUACACCUGCUCGACGCCGUCUCAGCCCCUCUUCGGUUUGCACGGUGCCUACUCGACCGGCCUGGACUGGUACUCGCCGCUGUACAGUCUAGCUCAACAAUUGUACUACUCUCCCGCACCUUCAGCAAUGGCCGGACCGUGCCGCCCAUACGUGCCUUCUCCGUACCUGAACGCGGCUACGGCACCUGUGAUGUCACCGUUAUUUCUACCGGGACUUGUCGGUGGUAGCCAAACUGCGAAUUCCGCAAUGUCUGUGCCAUCGAUUCCGCCGACGUCGUCUGCUACAACGAUGCCGUCUGCCGCAUCAGCGUCGUCUGCUGCCUCGUCGUUGUCUACUCAGUCGACGCCUGUAACUUCAACGUCAUCGCUGGCAAAUGUGUCGUCAGCGACGCCAAUGUUUUCCGCCUUGUCGCUGCCAUUCAGUACCACGUCAGCGUCUCAGCACACCAAAAAUAAUUCUACAUUGUGAGCGCGUUGGCCAUUCCAGUGGCGACGGUACAAUCAUUGUUUGAGUCAUAGGAACAUGAUCAAAGCUGUGCAGAAGAGAGUGCUUAUA